rnacentral:lncRNA from 1 species
GCUCAGUAGUAACUAAUAAUUGUGUAGCAAUGCAUUUUUUAUUAACAUUUCAAUGUUGAAAGCUUCUUAUACAUUAUUUUUAGACAUGUUUUAUAUAGCUUCUUGCAUGAGUGGAUCAAAAAAUUUAAGAUGGCUAAACUACGGGAUAUAAGAAAUGUAGGCCUAUCAGUAAGCCCAAGUAGGUAUGAAAAAAAUGAAGAUUUUUAUGAACUAUUUUGUGUAAGUGUGGAUCCAAAGCAAUCCACACUUGUGAAAGUGUGGAUCCGAACACUUUCUCUGAUGAGAAAUGAAUUAAACAUUCAAAUGAACUGUCAUGACAACUGUGCGCUUCCUACAUUCUAGGACCAAUUGAAGGACAUAGUAGGUACUUGUAGUAGAAUGGUGUAAAUGAUUCUGAUGUGUCACAUUAAAGACACACUAUAGCAUUCUACCAUCAGCUUUGACAUUUAUCUGCCCAGGGUCAUGACUUGCUCCUCUGGUUAAAGAUUAUUUUUCUCCUUCUCAGCAUGUACACAUGGUUGCGUGCAUACUUUUCUCUCAGUUACAGAUAUUCGAAUCAGAAUCUUGCCUUUGAAAUGUUAACUGCAUGUUUUAUUCAACCUAUCUUCUUAGUUUUCUUCAGGAUAUUUCUGUCAUGUUGUUGUCCUGACAAAAGAAAUGCACCCCUAAAUCUAAACUCAUUAUUUUUAAAGCAAAGCACUAAGAUUCAGCUUGAUACUAACUCUGAGUGUAUGGUUAGAUUUAUCAUAUUUAUAUAUAAUUGAUUUUAUGUCCCUUUUGCCUUCCAGAUUCUCUUCAGCAAUAUCAUCACUUGAAGCCUAAGGUUGAAAUGAAAAAGUGUGUUUCGAACCAGGCAGUCGGAAUGAAAGAUGUACAAGCAUGCACAUCAGCUUUUUCAGCUUUGGAUUUUAAUAGUUUGACCUUCAGUAAUGAGCUUCAUGAAAGAUCUGAGAAUUUGAAAGUUGGUGAUCUAUGUCCAUUUGUGUCUCCACCAAUGACCAACACUGUGUUGGGAUCCACAGACUUGGGGAAGAUGAACUUAAUAGAUCAAGAAAAGAUGACCACUGCAGCUGCAUUUCUAUUUUGGAAUCACACUCUCCGUGACCUGUGUGAGUCACAGCUACCAGAAAACAAAGACAGCAAAAAAGAGAGAACAGGAAAUGAGAA